UGUGUUUAAUCCCCGGGGAAGGGGCAUUGUAAGCGUGGAGGUCAUCAACUCCUUCAGACUCAGUUUCCUCUUGAACGACUAUAUACCAGAGACCAGGAUUUUUUUGAGUCUGGAAACCAAAGCUCAUAGCUUCUCCUAAAGGCAUUCUUGCUAUGUCACCUCACGGUGGAAGCUGGAAGGCAGAGAGGUGACAGAAAAGACUGUCUCACAUAAAGAGCAAAGAUCAUAUACACUCCCACAUGUCCUUUAAUAGUGGCAUUAGGUCAUUUGUAAGGACAGGGCUCCUGAGACUCACACAUCCCUCAUCAGGUCCUGCUUCACAACUGUAAUUCAGGGAUUCAUUUUGCAACACAUAUAUUGAAGGGCAUUCUCAGAGACAAUCUCACUUGUUUUCUAGUGAGCAUACUGUAGCUCAUUAUUCUAAACGAUAACUGAUAAUGCAAUCUAUGCCAGACCCACACUGAAAAUGCUAUAUCUCACUACAACCACAAUGCAAAAGGCUAGAAAUAGCCAUACUUUGCUAUCAAAUUAGUUUUAUGGUAGAAGCACUCACAUAUGGCCAAAGGAGAUGAUAAAGUGUCACUGUCCAGCUUGUCUCUAUUAUAUAGAGCUGCAUAAAGGUAGGAUUUGUACUCUAACAUCGCCAUCAGUGAAACAAGUUUUAGAAAUGGCCUCAUAGAAAUGGUGAUCAGUUCUGGUUUAAUUAAAAAAGCGAAGCAAGGUACAAUCUAUCUUCAAUAUACACAAUAAUUACAUUCCUGGAAAAAAAUCAGUGUAAAUUAAAAGGUACUUUUUAAAAGUAUUGGUUCUUAC
rnacentral:lncRNA from 1 species